UAAAUCUCUUUUUGUUUCUUUCUUCUUUUCUUGUUCUUUUUCCCUCUCUCCUUCGUUGGAUUGUUCUUCUUCCAAUGUUCUUCUUCCAAUCUAUCUCUUUCUCCGUAACAAUCAACUCAUUUCUCCAUCUCCUCACCGGUUUCACCUCCUCACCAUCACCACGGAUCUGAGAACGAGCAGACGGUGGAAAAGACCCGACCCCUCCCUUCUCUCUACUCCUUCCGCGAGUUACUCAAGAGGGAAGGAGAAGUGGUGUUUGGGAAGAUGAUGGAACGGAAGAAACAAAUGGUGUGACGGUGCGACGCCUCAGGUGAAGCGUAGUGCGGCGGUGGCAGAUGGUGGUGCGGCGGUGGCAGGUGGUGGUGCGGCGGUGGUGUAUUUCUAUGUUUAUACGUAUUUAUGUAUAGUAUAAAUAAUAAUGUGUAUUUUAUGUUUUAAUAUUAAUUAAUAAAAAUUAUUUGUUUGUUUUUA